rnacentral:rRNA from 1 species
UAUGCACGCUGGCGGCGUGCCUAAUACAUGCAAGUCGAGCGAACAGAUGAGGAGCUUGCUCCUCUGACGUUAGCGGCGGACGGGUGAGUAACACGUGGAUAACCUACCUAUAAGACUGGGAUAACUUCGGGAAACCGGAGCUAAUACCGGAUAAUAUAUUGAACCGCAUGGUUCAAUAGUGAAAGACGGUUUUGCUGUCACUUAUAGAUGGAUCCGCGCCGCAUUAGCUAGUUGGUAAGGUAACGGCUUACCAAGGCAACGAUGCGUAGCCGACCUGAGAGGGUGAUCGGCCACACUGGAACUGAGACACGGUCCAGACUCCUACGGGAGGCAGCAGUAGGGAAUCUUCCGCAAUGGGCGAUAGCCUGACUUAGCAACGCCGCGUGAGUGAUGAAGGGCUUCGGAUCGUAAAACUCUGUUAUUUGGGAAGAACAAAUGUGUAAGUAACUAUGCACGUCUUGACGGUACCGAAUCAGAAAGCCACGGCGAACUACGU